ACUCAAAGGAAUUGACGGGGGCCCGCACAAGCGGCGGAGCAUGUUGCUUAAUUCGACGCAACGCGAAGAACCUUACCAAGGCUUGACAUCGCCGGUUUACCCCUAGAGAUGGGGGGUCCUUUUGGGCCGGUGACAGGUGGUGCAUGGCUGUCGUCAGCUCGUGUCGUGAGAUGUUGGGUUAAGUCCCGCAACGAGCGCAACCCUUGUUCCAUGUUGCCAGCACGUGGUGGUGGGGACUCAUGGGAGACUGCCGGGGUCAACUCGGAGGAAGGUGGGGAUGACGUCAAGUCAUCAUGCCCUUUAUGUCUUGGGCUGCAAACAUGCUACAAUGGCCGGUACAGAGGGUUGCGAUACUGUGAGGUGGAGCGAAUCCCUAAAAGCCGGUCUCAGUUCGGAUUGGGGUCUGCAACUCGACCCCAUGAAGUCGGAGUCGCUAGUAAUCGCAGAUCAGCAAUGCUGCGGUGAAUACGUUCCCGGGCCUUGUACACACCGCCCGU
rnacentral:rRNA from 1 species